rnacentral:rRNA from 1 species
AGGGUUCGAUUCUGGCUCAGGAUGAACGCUAGCGACAGGCCUAACACAUGCAAGUCGAGGGGCAGCGGCCGGUAGCAAUACCGGGCCGGCGACCGGCGAAUGGGUGAGUAACGCGUAUGCAACCUUUCCGCGAGACGGGUAUAGCCUUCCGAAAGGGAGAUUAACCCCCGGUAGUCCUGGUUUCCCGCAUGAGGGACCAGGUAAAUAUUUAUAGCUUGCGGGUGGGCAUGCGUCCCAUUAGGCAGUUGGCGGGGUAACGGCCCACCAAACCGGCGAUGGGUAGGGGUUCUGAGAGGAAAAUCCCCCACAUUGGAACUGAGACACGGUCCAAACUCCUACGGGAGGCAGCAGUGAGGAAUAUUGGUCAAUGGGCGAAAGCCUGAAACCCAGCCAAGUCGCGUGCGGGACGAAGGCCCUACGGGUCGUAAACCGCUUUUGUACGGGAAUAAAGUCAGGGACGCGUCCCUGUUUGUAGGUACCGUAAGAAUAAGGAUCGGCUAACUCCGUGCCAGCCGCGGC